UUGAAACACUGGUUCCCAUAUGAUCUCUGAAGUUAAGCAAUUUCAAACCUGGUCAGUACCUUCAUGGGUGACUGCUUGGGAAUACCAGGGGCU